AUUGAACGCUGGCGGAAUGCCUAACACAUGCAAGUCGAGCGGGGUAGCAAUAUCCAGCGGCGGACGGGUGAGGAAUACAUAGGAAUCUGCCUUUAGGUGGGGGAUAGCUUGGGGAAACUCAAGGUAAUACCGCAUGAUCUCGCAAGAGCAAAGUGGGGGACCGCAAGGCCUCACGCCUUUAGAGGAGCCUAUGUCUGAUUAGCUAGUUGGUGAGGUAAUGGCUCACCAAGGCGACGAUCAGUAACUGGUCUGAGAGGACGAUCAGUCACACCGGAACUGAGACACGGUCCGGACUCCUACGGGAGGCAGCAGUGGGGAAUAUUGGACAAUGGGCGAAAGCCUGAUCCAGCAAUUCCGCGUGUGUGAAGAAGGCCUUCGGGUUGUAAAGCACUUUAGGUUGGGAAGAAAAAACUUCUCCUAAUACGAGAAGCGUUGACGGUACCAACAGAAUAAGCACCGGCUAACUCUGUGCCAGCAGCCGCGGUAAUACAGAGGGUGCAAGCGUUAAUCGGAUUUACUGGGCGUAAAGCGUGCGUAGGUGGUUUCGUAAGUCGGAUGUGAAAGCCCCGGGCUCAACCUGGGAACUGCAUUCGAUACUGCGAGACUCGAGUUUGGUAGAGGGUGGCGGAAUUCCCGGUGUAGCGGUGAAAUGCGUAGAUAUCGGGAGGAACAUCAAUGGCGAAGGCAGCCACCUGG
rnacentral:rRNA from 1 species